AUUGAACGCUGGCGGCAUGCCUUACACAUGCAAGUCGAACGGUAACAGGGAGCUUGCUCCGCUGACGAGUGGCGAACGGGUGAGUAAUGCGUCGGAACGUGCCGAGUAGUGGGGGAUAACGCAUCGAAAGGCGUGCUAAUACCGCAUACGAACUGAGGUUGAAAGUGGGGGACCUUCGGGCCUCACGCUAUUCGAGCGGCCGACGUCUGAUUAGCUAGUUGGUGAGGUAAAGGCUCACCAAGGCGACGAUCAGUAGCGGGUCUGAGAGGAUGAUCCGCCACACGGGGACUGAGACACGGCCCAGACUCCUACGGGAGGCAGCAGUGGGGAAUUUUGGACAAUGGGCGCAAGCCUGAUCCAGCCAUGCCGCGUGUCUGAAGAAGGCCUUCGGGUUGUAAAGGACUUUUGUCCGGGAGCAAAUGCUGGUGGCUAACAUCCACCGGAGCUGAGAGUACCGGAAGAAUAAGCACCGGCUAACUAUGUGCCAGCAGCCGCAGUAAUAC
rnacentral:rRNA from 1 species